rnacentral:rRNA from 1 species
GAAUUUUAUAUAAAAUUUUUAUUUUAUUUAUCAUUUGUAUAAGAUAUAAAAUUGAAAUUUAUAUUUGAUUGGGAGGAUUAUUAAAUUUUAUAAACUUUAAUAAAAAAUAAAGAACAUUAAUUUAUGAUAUUUUUAUUGAUUAAAAUUUUAUGAUUAAUUUUAUUAUAGAAUUAAUUACCUUAGGGAUAACAGCGUAAUAUUUCUAGAAAGAUCUUAUUGAUAGGGAUGUUUGC